rnacentral:lncRNA from 1 species
CUCAUCCUUCUGGCUUGGAAUUGCCAUGGUUUUCCUGAAGCCCAGCAAGCUGAAGCCAGACUACUUGAUAGAAGCUUCAGAGAAGCCACCUCAACAGCUCAUGCAUGGAAAACCUUUGUGACCUCCAAGCUGCAAACCAGGAAGAGCUGUCACUUGCCGCUGCCUGCUCCAGCUGAAGGGUCUUCAGGCCUAGCAUCUAGAAAUCUUCUUGACCGGCUGACUGCCUUCUGGACUCAGAAACCAGGAUCCUGAUGGCAGAGGUG